UUGUGAAUGGGGGUCCCCGAUGUUUGUGUAUAUUAACCCUACUUUGUCGCCAUUCACAAGUGCUUGCUAUUUUCAUCCUGCAAAUAUAUGUUGACCAUCAAUUAAGCUUUAAGAUCCAAAGGAUAUGAUAGUGAACAGGUGGCUUCUAAAAGUACAUUUCUAAGCAAUGAAUGGGGGAUCCAAGCACAUCUUUCCCAAAGAGCCAAUGACUGAUAAUUCCCCUUCAUGAUCAUCAGUAUACACCACCUGUGCCUGAUGGAUGUCACCUCUCACUCCCCUCACUAUGACCUUACAAGAGUAUGGCCAUGGCCGCCCACACUAUUGCAGGGGUGAGAAGCAGGGCCAGGAUCAGCAGGGACUCUGAAGAUAGAAUAAGUGGAUGGAGUAUGAAUGUCAAGUACACACAUGAAGGCGUUUUGGUGGAAGGCACAGCCACUCUGCAAAACAGAUGCUAUUUAAGCAAUUUGCAUAUGGUCAAGGCCUGAUAAGUGCAUAUAAACGAUGGAUUCUUACAAGAGAAAACAUUCAUUUGCCGACGAACCAUUCCUUGGAAAAGAGAACUCUCCAACAGCAAUAUUUCCUGAGUGUCACUGAACAAACCAAAUACAGUUUUUCAAAACAGAAAAGAAAACUUGAAACAGUGUGGGUCUUCUGGCUCCAACUCCCAGCACUACACGCUUCGAGAAAGCUAUCGCUCCCCUGCCCCUUUGCAGACUGAAAAAGCAGCUGUUCGUUCCAUUAAAAAAAAAUAAAGGC